UCUCCCUCUCCCUAUUUCACUGUCUCUCCCACAUUUUCCCUCUCAAAUUCAUUGCUGCAAAGAGCAUCGGCCAUCGCCCCUCCCAGCUUGCCCCGCCACCACCGUGAGCACCUUCCGCCGUCGCGCCCCCCAUCGCCGUGAGCACCUUUCGUUGUCGCCCCUCCCUCUACCGUCGCCCCCCUAGACGGUCGUGCCCACCCCCCAGCCCCUAGCCGUUCACACCGCCUUCGGUCUCCCCCACCUGCUGGCCCCUCUGACCAACCACCGCGACCCGUAAAUUGCCCUCCCCCCCCCCCCCCACUGCCAUUUAUCCCCACCCACCACUGCUUGCACCACGCAUAAUAAGGAGCUAGGGUUUGUAAAGACAGCCAAAUCAUUUCUUUUGCUUGGGAGCUGCGAAAGUUCUUAAUGCAAUUGCACUUCAUUUAUCGCGAUUCCGUUCUCCAAGUUGUAAAUUUUUUUAAAUUCACAACUAAGGUUUUUUGGAUCAGAAUUUCCUUGUAUUGGAGCAAGUAAUCCCGUGUGAAUUGUCAAAGAUGUCUCAAAAAGCGUUGAUGGAGCCGGAUUUGAGCAAGCUGGAUGUGACAAACAUUGGUAAUGCAGUACAGUAUGUUAAUGAAUACAUGCAAGGACGGCCGAGAGCAUGAGUUUUAUAAAUCUCAUCGUUAAACCAAGUGUGAAGUGAAAGAUCUAACAUUUUAGUCACCUUGAAAAUUUUAUUAUUGUACUUUUGAUUUUGGAAGUUAUGUACUCAGUAAUCAUACUAAUUUUUAUUAAGAAUUUAAUUUCUUAAAACAUAUUUAUGAGACUUUUGGCAAAUUGGUUCAAUUUUAUUGUAACAAUAUUUAACUUGCUUGUGUAAAACUUUUAUUCAUGUAAAUGAUGGUUGGAGCAUUUAAAUGCUUGCUG